CACCAGACUCCUACGGGAGGCAGCAGUGGGGAAUAUUGGGCAAUGGGCGCAAGCCUGACCCAGCAACGCCGCGUGAAGGAAGAAGGCUUUCGGGUUGUAAACUUCUUUUAAGAGGGAAGAGCAGAAGACGGUACCUCUUGAAUAAGCCACGGCUAACUACGUGCCAGCAGCCGCGGUAAUACGUAGGUGGCAAGCGUUGUCCGGAUUUACUGGGUGUAAAGGGAGCGUAGACGGCAGUGCAAGUCUGAAGUGAAAGGCAAGGGCUCAACCCUUGGACUGCUUUGGAAACUGUGCUGCUGGAGUGUCGGAGAGGCAAGUGGAAUUCCUAGUGUAGCGGCGAAAUGCGUAGAUAUUAGGAGGAACACCAGUGGCGAAGGCGGCUUACUGGACGGCAACUGGCGCUGAGGCUCGAAAGCGUGGGGAGCAAACAGGAUUAGAUACCCUUGUA
rnacentral:rRNA from 1 species